GACGAACGCUGGCGGCGUGCUUAACACAUGCAAGUCGAACGGAAAGGCCCCUUUGGGGGUACUCGAGUGGCGAACGGGUGAGUAACACGUGAGUAACCUGCCCUUGACUUCGGGAUAACUUCAGGAAACUGGGGCUAAUACCGGAUAGGAAUCCUUGCUGCAUGGUGGGGGUUGGAAAGCUUCGGCGGUUUUGGAUGGACUCGCGGCUUAUCAGCUUGUUGGUGGGGUAGUGGCUUACCAAGGCUUUGACGGGUAGCCGGCCUGAGAGGGCGACCGGCCACAGUGGGACUGAGAUACGGCCCAGACUCCUACGGGAGGCAGCAGGGGGGAAUAUUGCACAAGGGGCGGAAGCCUGAUGCAGCAACGCCGCGGGCGGGAUGACGGCCUUCGGGUUGUAAACCGCUUUCAGCAGGGGCGAAGCUUGUGGUGACGGUACCUGCAGAAGAAGCACCGGCUAACUACGUG
rnacentral:rRNA from 1 species